rnacentral:lncRNA from 1 species
AUGCUGACCCCUUUCUUCUUUCUCUCUCUCUCAGAGGAACAAGGCAUGACAGAGGACAGCUCCAUCACGCUCACCUUGCACAGCUUACAGCUGCCCUUUUCCAACACCUGGAAGUACGGGAUCUUGGCAAUAGCCAUCCUCUUGCUCCUGGUGGCCCUGACCAUCUUAGCUUGCCAGGUGUGUCAGCUCCAGAAACGCCACAGGGCUAGAAAAAAGAAGAAAUACCACAGUGAAGACAGGGUGAGGAUAAAGGCAGAGAAUGGCUUUUGGGGGAAGAAGAUGCCACCUCUCCUGCUUGACACCUCUAAGGUGAGCAAUGCGGAUUUCAAGGCAAGUACGUUGAUGCUAGGGCAAGGUCAAGAGCCAUCAUUGUUGGCAGAAACCCCACAGGGUCAAGAGGUGGGCUGACUGACAGCCUCUCAACUCUGCUAGAAAAGAUGCAAAACCCUGUGGCAAGAAAACGUAUAAAGAGAGAAUGUCUCCAGCUGAAAGGAACGGAGGAAGCAAAAUACUGCUCUUUCACUUAAAUAACAACUCUUCAUAUGGGGUGCCAGGGCCAGACCUGUGUCAGGGCCAUGAGCCCGCUUGCCCCUGUUUCCCAGGCAGGACCAGACAGUCCCGGAGAUACACAGGAGGAAAGUGGAGGAGCAAAAGAAGCAAAGCACUGACACACGAGGACCCCAGUGAGGUUGUUUUAUGGGUACUGCAGUCUGCCCACAGCCCCCGUGCACUCAGGCCAUGUGUGUCAUCGUCCCUCAGCCUCCCAGCGGGUACUGGGAGUGCCCUGGGUGAGUUUUGGGUGACAAAUUCAGAUUUAGACAUCUCCUACGUAGGGCUGCUAGGAGAUGCUCCAGCUCUGCAGGCUGCAAGCAAGACGUAGGAGGUAGGUGUCGCAGUGUGCAGCAGGGACCUUUGCAGCUACUUCAGGUGUUUUUGGGGCAGUCGCAGAGCUCAUGGAGUCUGUCACUGAGGGAAGUGAAGAAACCCGCAAGUGCCAUUUCUGGGGAAACUGGUGAAAAACCUCACUCGAUCAGAAGUUUCACUUCUCCUUGCUUCUCCUUCAUCCAGAAUUUAUCCGGUUUUCUUGAAGAAGCAAUCGCGGGCCUUUCCCAUCCCCUCUCCCUCCCCCACAACCCGCUUUCUUCCCCACUUCCAGCCUGUGCCUCUGUUAUGGGAGGGAUGUGGUUUCCAAUAAAACGAAUUCCUCAAGUUCCUGCUGACCUCCC